AACGAACGCUGGCGGCAUGCCUAACACAUGCAAGUCGAACGAGACCUUCGGGUCUAGUGGCGCACGGGUGCGUAACGCGUGGGAACCUGCCCUUAGGUUCGGAAUAACUCCCCGAAAGGGGUGCUAAUACCGGAUAAUGUCUUCGGACCAAAGAUUUAUCGCCUUUGGAUGGGCCCGCGUUGGAUUAGCUAGUUGGUAGGGUAAAAGCCUACCAAGGCGACGAUCCAUAGCUGGUCUGAGAGGAGGAUCAGCCACACUGGGACUGAGACACGGCCCAGACUCGGACGGGAGGCAGCAGUGGGGAAUAUUAGACGAGGGGCGAAAGCCUGAUCCAGCAAUGCCGCGGGAGUGAUGAAGGGCUUAGGGUUGUAAAGCUCUUUUACACGGGAUGAUAAUGACAGUACCGGGAGAAGAAGCUCCGGCUAACUCCGUG
rnacentral:rRNA from 1 species